rnacentral:lncRNA from 1 species
AUAUCACAUAUAUUCAUCAAAGAUUAGAUCUAAUAACAUAUAUCUUAUGUAUGUUCAAAUCUACAUCUCAUGUAAUCUUUAGAUCUUAUAAACAUGCAUCUCAUGCAAUAUUAAAUUUAACAACACACAUCUCAUGCAUGUUAAAACAUAUUAUGUAUCUCAUAAAUAACUUAAUAAAUUUCAGAUUCAUUAACAUGCAUCUCAUGCAUUAUGAAAUAAAUUAUUUUCAUGGUUCUUCUUCUUAAUUCAUAUAGACACUGCUUCCACCAUAGUUCUCUAUGGC